AAACAAUUUUUAUGCAGUCUCUUACUCUAUGUGUUCUUUGUCAUCCCCUUCCUAAAUAUUUAAGUCCAUAGGCUGGAUUUGAUCAAGAGGAGGCGAUUACUUUGUGGUGACUUGUUGGGUUGUUGGUUGUUUUGCUUUUUUAUUAUUUUCUUUUAAAAGCACAGAUGUUUUUAAGUGAUGGUGACAGUACACAGUGUAGUGCGUACCUCAUCUAUUCCUUCAGUUAAAGGUGACAGUCUGCUCAUUUGUUUCUGGCAGGGCAACUGUAAAUAACAAAGGAGCAAAAAUACUCAGCUUUGACUCACUGCUUGAACUGCUGUGCUAGUAGGAGGAAUAAUUUAGUGUCUAAAUGAGCACAUUUAUAGUAUUCUCUGGGAUGCAAUAUCAAUUCUGAUAACAGGGCAGCUCAUGAUGCUCUUUAAACUCUUUUUCUUCUUCCUAGAAGUGGAAUCAGUCUCUCUCCAGAAAUGGAAUGUGAUUAAAAGAAGGAGAAAUUAUGUGAUGUUCUUGGGAAGGGUAGCAAUGGGAGUAGCAUGUUCAGUAAUCAAUUCAGUUCCAGUUCAUGUCAGUGCAGUCUGUUCUGAACAAUCAACAGAACCACACAAGUGUUAGCAGAGCUCUUGGAGCUCCGCAGGAGCAAUAAUUUAAAUUUUUAUCUUGGUUUCUAAAUUGAUAACAACUAGAUCUGCUGAUAACUUAAGAUAUAAUUGGGUUAUAACAGGGUGUAUGAAAACAGUCUCUACGAGGAUUGCUUUUUUAAGAUUUGUAUUAGUGUUGGCAGUAUAAUGCAAUCGUUUCUAGUGGUUCUACUGCAUCUAUCAGUUGAUAUUGCCUCUUGAGAUCAUGCUGUUCAUUAGCCUUGAAAUAUCUAAGUGUAAGUUCUUUUUCAAGAACUAAACUACAAAACAAAUCAAGUCUAGAAUACAUUUUCUCAGCAUUUUCACUGUGUGUUUUCCUAGUCUUCCUAGAAAUUUUGGACUAAGCAAGCAAGUUAGGCUUGUUCAAUCAUCAAAACCACGAUUCCCCAUUUAAAACUGUUAAGUGGAAAAAUGAGUUUGUUUUCCAAGAAUUUAUGAAAUAGGCUGUGAACUGUGUAAUGGUGUCCUGAUUGUUCCCCUUCUCGUUUCUUCUUUGGCCUGGCUGUUGUGCACAAGGCCACGUUCAGACAGGCAAUGAGAAGCCCAAGGUCCCGCUCAGGACUGAUAACACUGUCUUGCGAAGAGAGAUAGCAACCAUAAAUUUGUCUCAAAUUGGAGGGCUGAAAAAAAUGAUCAUCAGACACAAGGUUCAGCAACUGAGAACCAUUUGAAGAUGUGCUAGUACACAAUUGAGUAUACUAUGACUAUGCAUCAGCCAUCUUAGGCCAUUAAGAGUGAGCAGUCACCAAGGCCCCCCAGCAUGACAGCAAGCUGCACACUAUGAUCUCUCCUCAGGUAGGGAUGCAUUUCAAGGCUAUGCCUGCACAGAGAUUCUCUAUAGCUUGAUACCUUUCAGAUACAGGUCCUCAUUCAGUGAUGAAUAGCUUUAAGGUUUCUUAGCUAAGGUUAUAUCUUUGUGCACAUAUAAUCACCUAGACAUAAACCAUUAAACAAGUCUGAGAUGAGGACUGGAUUCAGCUGCACGCAGGUUCCUCUGAGAACGAGUUUAAAAAGAAGAGGGGUCCACUCUGAACAUUGUGACUCAAUGGGGCCUCGGAGAUGAGUGUGUUUAACCCUACCCCUUUGUUGUAAAUAAUCAAGGAUACCUUGCCAUUGUAUAUCUUUUUAAGUCAGUUGUCUUUAUUAAAUCAUUUUAUUGUAUGAGUAAAUAUAUUCUCACUUCUCUCUCAGAAUUGAAAUAUAGUUUCCAACCACACAGUGCUUGAGCUGCAUUAGUUGUCAGUUAUUAGACUUAAAUGAAAUGAUUUUUCUUUGGCUUAAGUGGAUCACUUUUUCUAUAUUGGUAAUACCAGAUUUCCUACUGAAUUUAAUAAAUGCAAUUCAGAAAUAGUAUGUCUCCUAACAGAUUUAGAUUUUAGAUGUCCAUGACCCUGACCUGGCAGGGUCUUCCUACAAAUAAUUGUACUGGAAUUGUUUUGUUUAUUGUGUAGAUAUGAUUUUUAAGGUCACCCAGAUGAACAGCAUUCUAGAUAGCAAUUUGAUGUGGUUUCACCUGGAGGGAGUGGAACUGACUUCAGAGUAGCAUAAGGAGGUGCCUCACUCCUCCUCCUUUUGAUAGUCCCAUUUAAAAAGCUCUGCCUAGCCAGCACAAACAGGUCAAGGCCUGCAAAACAUGGUCCUGAUGUUGUUCUUCUUGGGUUUCAUCUUUCUUAUGGCUUGCUUCAAAAAUAAUUACUACCUGGUGGUUAUGUGAUUGCUCUUCACUUCAGCUGCUUUUCCUUGCACACUUUAACAGCAAAAGCCUUGAAGCUUAUUCUAGGUUCUGCCAAGCGACAUGUACCAUAUAGAUCAAAUUGCAAUAGUGUUGUCUGAAGAACUUCCUUCUGCAGAUUUUCUCCUCCCCCAUUUAAUAACCAAGGUGAGUUGUCAGGAGAGAGGAGACUGAGGAUUUGCAUUGCAGGCUUUGUUUUUGUUGGCCUCUGAAAAUUAAGGUCAGGACCUUGAAGUUAUUGCCAGUAUUAGUAUGGUAAAUAAAAGGAAGACUGUGUGUGACCUACGUCUGAUAGACUCUGUGAGCUAAGGUUUUCAGACUAAGAGAUCACCAAGCUGGUGCAGUCACUGGAAGAGGUUUCAUGAGCCAGUAACCUGCAGAACACUAAUGUGUAGGAAGUCAGUGUGCUUCCAAACCACUCCUUUUAAUAAGUUGUUUAGUAAGACUAAUUAGCAGUUCUUAUUAAUUUAGUGUCCUAUAUGUUGCUUACCACCCUGGUAAAUGCACAUGGUAAAGGAGAGUAAAAUAUCUCACAACCUUUUUGUUCAGAAGCCUACAGUCCAGAGCAUCUGUGAUAGGUAUUGGACGGCCCAAGACAUCAUGACAAUAAUUACUACUUUUAAGCAUUUUAUUGUACAGUGUUUAGGGGCCACUGCAGAGCAUGUUUCAAAUAGCAUGCUCACAAGGUGGAUAAAAAGGUAGCUUCUCAAGGAAAUGGGAAAUAGAGUAUGCUUAGGCACUGAAGAAAUUCAUGUUGGAGUAAACUGUUUGCAAAUUAAUUCCAGCUUCUUGCAACCUGAAACAAUAGCUAUCUCUAGAUAAAAGCGGUAGCUCCCAGGAAAGAUAGAAAGCUAGCAAUAGCAAUGCCAUAAAAUGUAUGCAUGACACUUGUGGGGUUUUUUGUUGUUGUUUUUUGUUUGUUUGUUUUGGACUAUAUAUCUUUCUGAUCACACCCAACUGAGAGGAAGAGGAAUUUCCUCAUUACUUGUUGGGGCUGUUAUGGGCUUUCAGGCAGAAAUAUGACUGAUCUUCAGUAGUCAGACAGCUUGCAGUGUCCUGAUAUACUUAGAGUUUUUUGUUCACCCACGUAAAUACUGUCUCAUUUGGUAGGUGGUUGUUGUGGGAUUUUUUUUGCCUUAGAUUUGUUAUUAUUUUGUUAUGUUUAUAUUAGCAUCUUGUUUAGCUAGUUGCACUAUUUGGUUUGAUUUCUGGUUUAAUUCCUCUUUUGAGAGGGAAUUGCCUUGGGUGUUCAGGGCUGGUCAAUAUGACUGCUGCAGGACAGGUGCUUUACUCAGAUGUGAGUGUGAUGCUCAAAAAACAUUGCUUGGUUUUUGGGAAUCCAGUCACAUCACUGUUAGAAGUAAUGUGCAUCAUCUUAUUGAGUAAGGAGAAAUUUCUGGAAAAAGGCCUCUAGUAUAAGCCAGAAGAAAUGAUCUAUUCUCAUUGUGGAACGUCUAUUCUUAAUGUAUUCUUAAUUAAUAAGCAUGCUACGUGCUUAUCUUUUUUGCCCUCAGUCCACAUAACUGGAAGCAUUAUUACGAUCCUUAAAUCUAAGUUUUGUUUAGGGCUUUUUUUUUAAACUGUAUCAUAGAUUAAAGGUUAUCAGCUACAAGAAUUUCUCGUUUUACCAAUACCAUCUUCUGAAGAUUAUGUUGUUCUGAGAUUUGUAAUAAUUGUCGAUUUGCUAGCAUGAAACCAUGGCAAUUAUUUUAAGCUUUUUAAAAAUAUUCUGAAAAUACACAUUUUGUGGCACAUAAAUGAGAUCUGACAUCAUCAGAAAACUUGGUCCUAUAUCCCUAUGUUUAAUCCUUUAAAAGCAGGAAUGUUUGUUAUUGUUGUGAAGUUUUCAUUCUUUUGAACGAUGUCAGAAAGACAGUGCAUGCAUGCAUGUAACAACUGGAGAUAAGCAGUUUUCCCUUUCCCUGC
rnacentral:lncRNA from 1 species